GCUUGCGCCGUGACCUUUGUUGCCAUGGUAAUCAUGGCUGUACCUUGAACCUAAAUUCCAUGUUUCCGGUUGCCCAUUGGUAAUUAAGGCCAUGUCGCUUAAGGCGAAACCACAGCACACCUGAUCUACGCAUGACACAGUGCGCAUCUUUGUUUUAACCUCAAGAGGAUUUAGAUUCAAAACCUAUUUUAAUUUUUGGAUCUCGUUUAUUAGCUUACAGAGGAGCAAUGUGCUGAAAUAUAAGGCAAGACCAACAAGGUGUAAGAAGGAUUGCUAAUGUAAUCAGAAACUUGAUGGCUGAUAUAAAGCGGCUGAGGAGAACAGGCUUGUGACUGGGAAUAGGUUGGUGGAACUUGUGUACAGCCCUUUCUAUGUUCAACCCAUGUCUCAGGUGGAAGUACAUUCAGUAGUUUUCAUGGAGAUCCAGCUUUAUUUAAGGCUCAUCUUAAAGAGAAUGAUGUGGCUGCUGGGACAUAACUAAAAUCUACAUUCAACUGCUUGCAGAUCUCAAGAAGCCUGGGGUUCUCAUGCAGCGCCGCAAGCACUCAGGCUGAUUGGGAAGUUAAUUUCUGGUCCUUCGAUAAAGCUCAGUUACAAGAACGCAAUGUGGCGAUCAAAUGUAUUCUGUUUCUUAAAGUCAUGGAAGCGUUGUUGACUUCUACUGAGCCUUUCUUGGUGCGACAGCUGGAGAGGUAUCUGAUGGGAAAUCUGAUUGGUGUCUAGCUGACUCAUAAGUGGGAGCAAGGUGAUCAAGGUGUGUCGCAAUACAGUGGAAGGACUAUUAAAAGACUGCCAGCAACAAAACAAAAGUCAGCUCUUUACACCAUAAGCUACUGGGCAGAGGAUAAGGAUAAUGCUGAGGAUUUCAGUCAUCGGGCAGAAUCACUGGUGGUUGACUUUAUAGGAAUCUUGUUUUUCUUUCUGAAUAAUAGCUAAUCAGAAUUUCAGAGUACUUCUUUCAUUUUUAGUAUAAAAAUGAACUUUAUUUUUUAAACAUUAGUGUUUUUGUAAAUUGUUACUGAAAAAAUGAUUGCUGUGAAUUGUAAACUUAUUUUGAAAACUAAUACUAACAAUGUUUAUAAUUAAGUUUAGUGUUCAUAGUGUAAAAAAAAAUUACAUUUUAAUUAAUUACUUAACUUAUUUUUCAGGGUAAUUGAAAUCAGCUAGAUAAUCCUAGAAUCAGUAGUCAAUGUGCUUCUUUUCCUUAGAUGUGCUAAUUGUAUCUAAAGAUUAAUUAUAAUUGAUACUUAAAUUGUUUUAACACUAAAGAGACUAAAGUGGUCCAAGAAAUUUUUCGUCACCUAUUUUUUUUCCAGCAUACAUUCAAUAAAUGGGUUAGAUCUAGAUCUACUAGUAAUUAUACUUUAAACCAAUAUUUUAAUGUUUAUUCCUCGAUAAUUAAUGCUACUUUUCUUCUUAAGAGGGAUCAUAUUGAGAAGAGGCUAAUUUCUUGAUUAUGUAACUGUUUUACAGUACUGUGUUGAUCGUAGAUUAUACAAGGGCUAAAUUUAGGUUGUCACUAUGUAAUUUAUUUCUUUGCUCUUAUAAACAUAUUUUUAAAUUAUUGCAAAAAAUCUUUUUUUUACUUUGCCAUUCUCCUAAAUGUUUCUAUUUUAUUAGACAAAAUUAAAAUUCAUGUGGUAAUCUGAUUACUGUAUUUUAAUGAUUUAUAUUUCUUUUAGCAAACAUUGAAAUGUCAGUAUGCAUAGUUCAGUAGUAAUAAACACUGGUACACACUUUGACAGCUAUUUUCUUUUUAUUUUGA